rnacentral:lncRNA from 1 species
GGAAAAGAAAAACAUCAACACAGAUGGACAGAUAGCUGCGAGAAACUGAAAAAUGCCUAAAAUUCUGGCAAUAAGGUGUUAAAUUACACGUCUUGAAUAUUAGAGAAUUGUGUUUUGCAUCAUUUUUAAUUGAAUAUAUAACGAUUAUGUUGAACCGUUUUAAAAGAUUCAAAUAAUUAUUACUUUUUGCCCCUCCCCCUUAUUUUCCCCCUCCCCCUUCCUCCUUCCCCCUUCCCCCUUUUUCUCCUUCUCCUCCUCCUCCUCCUUUUUCUUCUGUCUCUCCUUAUAUUUAUCAUGGUUUCCUCAGGAUGGGGAGGAUUUGGAUGAUAUUUAACUCCUUCGUUAUACUUUUGAAUUUUCCAAAGUGGGUCAUCAUUAGUAAAUAUACAUUAUUUUCAAAGCUUUUGACAUUGCAAAAAAAAUUGUACACAACUAAGAGCUUAAUUAGCAUUAGAUGGGUGAAAAGGGAGAAAAGCAAACUGAGUUGUGAAAGUAGGAUGUGUUUGAAGGUGACUAUUUGAGGGGAAGGGGUGAGAGGCCUGUGUAGUAUAAAGCGGCAGCUCUCUACCUGUUUUUGCCAAGGUUCUUGGGUGUUGGGCAGUGGUCACAGCCCUCUUGCUCCCCUUGCGAUCCCUCACUCAGCUCUUCACGCCCCACCCAACCCAGCACUCAAGUUCGCCGGGCGGGGCUAAACUGGGGAUACAGGAGAUGAGCCCUCAACUCUGCUUCUCUGGUCCCACAGCUCAGACCACCCUCCUAGACCCAUACCUUCCGACCCUCUCAAUUCUUAAGACACUUCUGAUGCCAGAGAUUUAACUGGCAGCAGGGGCAGGACCACCUGCAAGAGUUCAGAGUCUUGAUCUACUUACCGCCGCGCUCCAAACACGCACCCCUUUC